GAUGAACGCUGGCGGCGUGCCUAAUACAUGCAAGUCGAGCGAACGGACGAGAAGCUUGCUUCUCUGAUGUUAGCGGCGGACGGGUGAGUAACACGUGGAUAACCUACCUAUAAGACUGGGAUAACUUCGGGAAACCGGAGCUAGUACCGGAUAAUAUUUUGAACCGCAUGGUUCAAAAGUGAAAGACGGUCUUGCUGUCACUUAUAGAUGGAUCCGCGCUGCAUUAGCUAGUUGGUAAGGUAACGGCUUACCAAGGCAACGAUGCAUAGCCGACCUGAGAGGGUGAUCGGCCACACUGGAACUGAGACACGGUCCAGACUCCUACGGGAGGCAGCAGUAGGGAAUCUUACGCAAUGGGCGAAAGCCUGACGGAGCAACGCCGCGUGAGUGAUGAAGGUCUUCGGAUCGUAAAACUCUGUUAUUAGGGAAGAACAUAUGUGUAAGUAACUGUGAACAUCUUGACGGUACCUAAUCAGAAAGCCACGGCUAACUACGUG
rnacentral:rRNA from 1 species